GAGUUUGAUCCUGGCUCAGGAUGAACGCUAGCGGCAGGCCUAACACAUGCAAGUCGAGGGGUAGAGUUCUUCGGAACUUGAGACCGGCGCACGGGUGCGUAACGCGUAUGCAAUCUACCUUAUACUAAGGGAUAGCCCAGAGAAAUUUGGAUUAAUACCUUAUAGUUAAUAGAAUUGGCAUCGAUUUUAUUAUAAAGAUUUAUUGGUAUAAGAUGAGCAUGCGUCCCAUUAGUUAGUUGGUAAGGUAACGGCUUACCAAGACGAUGAUGGGUAGGGGUCCUGAGAGGGAGAUCCCCCACACUGGUACUGAGACACGGACCAGACUCCUACGGGAGGCAGCAGUGAGGAAUAUUGGUCAAUGGACGGAAGUCUGAACCAGCCAUGCCGCGUGCAGGAUGAAGCAUCUAUGGUGUGUAAACUGCUUUUGUACGGGAAGAAAAAACAUUACGUGUAAUGUACUGACGGUACCGUAAGAAUAAGGAUCGGCUAACUCCGUG
rnacentral:rRNA from 1 species